rnacentral:tRNA from 1 species
GACCGCAUAGCUCAGUUGGCAGAGCAUUGGGCUAGUAUUCCAAAGGUCGUAGGUUCAAUUCCCACCGUGGCCA